UUGCUCUCCUAGGCAGACUGCCUACCACGGCUGACGAGCUCCACCUGCCCGGGUUUAUUGUUCGGAGUUUGCUCUCCUAGGCAGACUGCCUACCACGGCUGACGAGCUCCACCUGCCCGGGUUUAUUGUUCGGAGUUUGCUCUCCUAGGUGUAUUACCUAUGACGGCUCACGAGCCCAACCUGCCCGGGUUUUAUGUUCGGAGUUUGCUCUCCUAGGUGUAUUACCUAUGACGGCUCACGAGCCCAACCUGCCCGGGUUUAUUGUUCGGAGUUUGCUCUCCUAGGUGUAUUGCCUAUGACGGCUCACGAGCCCAACCUGCCCGGGUUUAUUGUUCGGAGUUUGCUCUCCUAGAUGAAUUGCUUUCGCUAACGACCUCCACCUGCCCGGGUUUGUAAUCGGAGUUUGCUCUCCUAGGUGAACUGCUCACGCUAACGACCUCCACCUGCCCGGUUUUGUAAUCGGAGUUUGCUCUCCUAGAUGAACUGCUUUC